CAGUGUGAGUGGUUUCUUUUUGUUUAUAGGGCGAGUGGGAGCACUAGGUGAUGAUACCUACAUAAGAACGCCAUAACACAGUACAUUUAAAGUCAGAUACUAUUUUCCAUUGUGGUCCCUAUUGUUGUUAUUAUUAUUGAUAACAUAUACUGUUAGGCCUACAAUGAUACAUUACAUAGACAUAUACAGUUACCCUCGUGAUACACUAGCACAGGUGGCCGCGCGGUUAAACACUGCUUCCCAUUCAUUUCAAUGGAAGGAAAGCGGUGAGAAGCGGAGAGGGCGGUGUGAAGGUGGCGUGGGAGGCGGUGACAAAGUACACUUUUCUCGGCGGGCGAUGACCAAUCAUAUCGAAUGGUUUCCAUGACGAAUUAGACCCAAGGCUUGGAGACUUUCUUCAAGCAAAGAUGGCUGACAAAAAAUACUAAGGAUGGAAGCAAAUGGACUGAAACAACCAGCAAACCAGGCUGCCAUCUGGUGAAACAGUGGAUAUAAAGAAUCUAGCUAGCUAAAGAAUUUACUGCAAAUUGAAUGUACAAUUUUGUAAGAUUGCCUUGCUGAUAUUUGCCAUGUAAGAUAGAUGAAAAAAUGUAGCUAGCUAUGUUCUUGCUUAUUGUGCAGUGGAGGAUAAAAAUACCUGUAUGCCCACGGAUGUGUAGCUAGCUAUCUAUUCGAUCUGUGUAUGGACCCAAACGUUUGGUAUACAUAUUAGUUCAGAACCUAGCUAUGAACCUCAGCUAGCAUAGCCAGCUGUAUCAACUUCAAAACAGCCCGAAUGACAUUAAUGAAGCCUAUCGAUUGAGUAGAAUAUAAUAUAACUUUAUGCCAAGGAUGCAAGUCGAAUAUACAUGUAGUUAUUACCAUGCAUGAGAUCCCCACAUUGUAGCCUGUACAUUUAAUGUAUUCACUGAUCAUGUACUCUACCUUGGCAAAUAAAGUGCUGUUCAGGUAUGAAAACUCA